UGGGGAAUAUUGGACAAUGGGCGAAAGCCUGAUCCAGCCACGCCGCGUGUGUGAAGAAGGUCUUCGGAUUGUAAAGCACUUUAAGUUGGGAGGAAGGGCAGUAAGCGAAUACCUUGCUGUUUCUACGUUACCGACAGAAUAAGCACCGGCUAACUCUGUGUCAGCAGCCGCGGUAAUACAGGGGGUGCAAGCGUUAAUCGGAGUUACUGGGCGUAAAGCGCGCGUAGGUGGUUCGUUAAGUGGAAUGUGAAAGCCCCGGGCUCAACCUGGGAACUGCAUCCGAAACUGGCGAGCUAGAGUAGGGCAGAGGGUGGUGGAAUUUCCUGUGUAGCGGUGAAAUGCGUAGAUAUAGGGAGGAACACCAGUGGCGAAGGCGACCACCUGGGCUCAUACUGACACUGAGGUGCGAAAGCGUGGGGAGCAAACAGG
rnacentral:rRNA from 1 species